rnacentral:lncRNA from 1 species
GGGGAGCGUCCACGACCAACUCUCGAGGGAACGCGAGGAGCGGACCGUCGUGCAGCGCGAGCUCGCGGAGAUUCGCGCCAAGUACAACGCCGCGGAGAGUCGCAGGCGGGAGGAGUGCGAGGAGCUCGAGAACAAGCUCGCGGGAGCGAAGGAGAAGCUGAGCGCGAGAGACGCGGAGUGCUCGCACUUGAAGGCGCGUUCUAGUAUCACGCCGGUCCCCAUACGACCCCGUUCGCGUGGUGGACGCCGUUCCUUGAGGACUUUCUCUCCCGGCGUUUCUGUCUGCCCACCACCCCUCGCUUUCAACGAACGACGCUCGACCUCGACGCCUUUCAACUCCACCCCUGACGCCUUUCAACUCCACCCCGACGUCGCCUCGCGCGGAACCUCGACCCCGAAGGCGCAACUGGAAGGCGCGCGGUCCGCGGCGGCGGCGGGGGGCGCAGGGACCGCGGCGGCGAUGCAGCACGCGCACGCGUACGACCCGAACCACGCGGCGACGGCGUCGCAAAUGCAGCGACUGCUCGACCAGGCGAGGGAGGAGCGAAACAACGAGCGAGCGGCGGCGGUGCAGAGAGACGCGGAGAUGGCGCGGCA